rnacentral:rRNA from 1 species
CUACGGGAGGCAGCAGUGGGGAAUAUUGGACACUGGGGGAAACCCUGAUCCAGCCAUGCCGCGUGAGUGAAGAAGGCCUUAGGGUUGUAAAGCUCUUUCACCCGUGACGAUGAUGACGGUAGCGGGAGAAGAAGCCCCGGCUAAUUCCGUGCCAGCAGCCGCGGUAAUACGGAAGGGGCUAGCGUUGUUCGGAUUUACUGGGCGUAAAGCGCGCGUAGGCGGCGGACCAAGUUAGGCGUGAAAGCCCUGGGCUCAACCCGGGAAUUGCGCUUAAGACUGGUUUGCUUGAGUCCGGGAGAGGGUGGUGGAACUCCCAGUGUAGAGGUGAAAUUCGUAGAUAUUGGGAAGAACACCGGUGGCGAAGGCGGCCACCUGGACCGGUACUGACGCUGAGGUGCGAAAGCGUGGGGAGCAAACAGGAUUAGAUACCCUAGUAGUCC